AGACAGACGCAGCAGCAGCGGGCGGCGGUCCCGCGAGCGGAAUCAAAGCCCGCCAGGAGUCAGAACUGGAUGUGCUCAAGUUAUUUGAAGAUCUCUGCUUUUCAAGGUUGGCAUCUCACCUCCUUUGUCCCUGGAAAGAGAUACCCUCCAGAUGGCCACACUAGUUGAAAAUGUCCAACAUCUCAGAAAAGAAUCAGGUUGGGAAAGAUUCACCUGAAAGAACAACAGUGAUGUUAUAGGCCUGGCAGCAUGCUGAAUGAACUUCAGUUAUGGAUCAGACACAGAGAUGCGCCUCACAAAGAUCUGAGGAGGAAUUAAACCACAGGAAAGAGAAACAAUCACUGUGACCCUGGAUUUGAAAUUGGAUUCCUCCAAAGAUCUUGGGACUGCUGAGAAGUACAGCAGGGACUGAUUAUUCAGCAUCAUGCAUUGAUGUUACUGCUGGCAAGGCAAAAUAAAAGAAGAGGCAAACAAAAAAUAGGUGUCCUUAGCGCAUUAAUGCUACUGCAUGCUUCCAGUGAGAGAAAGAUAAAAUAAAAGGAGAGAAGGUUAGAGAGGAUCUUGCUGGAAGCUUGACUGAUGAUUAUGUGCCAUCAAACCAGCAUCAACUCUUAGCAACCACAUAGAUUUUCUCCAUAAUGAUCUGCCUCUAAC